AUGCUGAGGAAUGCUUCCUCUGGGGUUUCGACCGGCACGGCUAUUUGUCAUGGCCUCAGAAGCUGCUUGGCUACAGAGACCUGGAAGCUUGGGGAUCUCAAGAUACACCUUGACCAGUGGAGUCUGUCUGAGCCUUGUGUAACCUUGUCACUGUCUUCCAGGGCAGAAUUGGCUGGCAGGGGAGUCUGCAGAAUGCUGUCUUCAGGCAGUGAGGAGGUGUAGCAGGUGAGUGUUAGCUUUGAGGUGGUGAUUCUGUGUGGCCCAGACUCAGGGUCGCCCCACACAAGCCUUCCUUGUCCUCCCUGACCAGAGCAGACCACGCUGUGCUCCCUCUCAGGACUUUCUGGACCUAAACCCUCAUAGAUCUUCCUGCACUUUCUUUUUGUGCAUUAUGUUUAUAUGUACACACAUGUGUGUGGAUAAGUAUGCACUACACAUUUAUAUCAAUUUCUGUUUUCCCUGCUAGAAGUUUCUAGAAGGCAAGGCCUGUGUAGGUUUUGCUCUGCAGUGUCAGCAGCACCUACACAUAGUAGGUGCUCACAAAUUUUUAUGGAAUGUAUGCAGAACUUCAGGUGUCUACCUGACUUCACCUGACUUCACCAGAACAGAAGCUCAUCCUCAGACGUCCUUCAGCUCCCAUGGAACCACACUCAGCACACACUCAGUUCUGACAAAUACAGGUGUUUGAAGGGAUGCGUGCAUGGCUCAGUGGUUGAGUGU
rnacentral:lncRNA from 1 species